UUCCAUUCUCUCAAAGCUAAAUUAAAAUACAAAAUUUAAAAUAAAUUUCACUCAAUAUAAUUCAUUUGUUCCAAUCAUACCCAUAAUUAUUUGUUUCUUUACCGAGCUAAUUAGCAUCACCAAGAAGCUUGAAUUCCUCUAAGCUCUUGGAAUCCUCCCAUGGUUGAACCCAGACCUUGGCUUCGCAAAGGUCUUGUGACCAUCUAAAGCCUCCGAAGUGAUGUAGGACAUAAUGCCUGCAUCCACUUGCUCUUUUAGAUUCACAAUCUUCUUGAACUGUAGCAGCGCGUUCUGCAAUAUGCUCAUCGCCAAAUUUAUUGUUGCAAAUUGAAACACAAUGUUCACAGCUGAUAAAAAUUGAUUUGCAGCAGCCCGAUAACGACGAACAGUUUAGCCUAUUAUAUUUGUUAGUGAAGUAAAUUAAGGCUAUUCUUUUCUACAGUAUGAGUUUCUAUAUUGUGUAAUUUAGACAAAAUCAAUUGUUACGUGCACAGAACGAUGAUGAAAUCAAAGCUGUCAAAUGACAAUAUAAUUGAGAAAUCACGGAUAAGUUGCCUGCAAAUAUUUCCCUCUUAGGUUGUUCAUGGAUUAAUUUUUGAUCUAUUUCCCUUUUCUACGCACAAGCUACUUAACAUGAAUUCACUAUGUAUAAAAAACAUCAGAUCUUAGAGAAAACAUGAAGCUAAACCACUCGAAGUAAAUCACAGAAGAAAGGAACAACAGAAACCGCUGAAAAAUUUUGGAGAAGCAAGAGACAUAUAUACAUACAUACACAAGCCAUCAGCUGAAGAUUUAAUUAAGCCAACAAAACUCCUCUGUUUGCCGAUAUAUAAUUUGUAAGUUCAUAGUUAUGAUUAUUUCAUCGAACUACAUGAUCAGGUGCUUGAAUUUCAACAUAAUCUUAAUUCCCUAGUGGAAAUUUUCUAGGAAACGAACAGAAUCACGGAAGUAUGAAUUGAAGAAAGGGGAGUAAUUACCUAUUUCCAGUUGUGCUCGUCAACGGCGAAACGAGUAAGGUUAAACUCACGAGUUUUUGCCUUUCUCUCGACGUCCGAAAUACAACCGUCCAAAGGCUCCUCCGCCAUUUUCGUUUGUGUUUCUUCGUUUCUCUCUCCGAAUCUGAUCUUCUUCCCGUUCGCUGCUCUGAUUUUGAUGAACUCCGUCUCCGUUAUUAUUCCCUCAUUUCUAAUCAUAUCAUCCCAACGGCAUGUUUUACAUUUACCUUUUUAAAAAAAAUAAUUUUACAUUUAUUUUUUUAACAAAAAAUAUUUAGCAUAAAAAAUAUUUCAGAAAAAUCAGACUCUAAAUUUAAUUUAAAAUAAAUAUUUAUUUAUCAGCAAAUUUCUCUCUCAAAAAUUCAUAAAAAAAUUAUCUUUAUAGUUAAUAAUUC
rnacentral:lncRNA from 1 species